GUGGGGAAUCUUGCGCAAUGGGCGAAAGCCUGACGCAGCCAAGCCGCGUGAAUGAUGAAGGUCUUAGGAUUGUAAAAUUCUUUCACCGGGGACGAUAAUGACGGUACCCGGAGAAGAAGCUCCGGCUAACUUCGUGCCAGCAGCCGCGGUAAUACGAAGGGGGCUAGCGUUGCUCGGAAUUACUGGGCGUAAAGGGCGCGUAGGCGGACAGCUUAGUCAGAGGUGAAAGCCCAGGGCUCAACCUUGGAAUUGCCUUUGAUACUGGCUGUCUUGAGUUUGGGAGAGGUGAGUGGAACUCCGAGUGUAGAGGUGAAAUUCGUAGAUAUUCGGAAGAACACCAGUGGCGAAGGCGACUCACUGGCCCAAUACUGACGCUGAGGCGCGAAAGCGUGGGGAGCAAACAGGAUUAGAAACCCCGGUAGUCC
rnacentral:rRNA from 1 species